AUGGAAAGAAACAGUGGUGUAACUGGAGGCGUCUUCAGCCUGAAACGAGCUGUGCUUCUCAAAAAUAGUUCCAACAACACAGGAAAAAUAGAAAUGCAAGAGGCAAAGAUCUCACCUUGGAUAGCAUCAAACUCAACAGAGUACUUGUGUUCCAGGAGAGGGGACCUUAGACUUUUGCUCAUCCCAGAAAUCCUCCUGAUGCUGUUCAUCUUCAAGAACAAGCUAUAUGUUCGCUGCAGAAAAAGACUACAAAGAUCACCAGAGGCAUGGAGACUGCGCCUAAGUCACAAAGUUUACGUGAAUACUACUACUCUAAAGAAUACUACUACUCUCAAUCAGCAGUGCAGAUCUUGGGUAGAUGUGGCCAAAGGGAUGGCUGACGAGGCUUCUCUUUGGUAUAAAGCAAACCCAGCGAUUCCUGCAAUUCAGGAGGGAGGGUGUGUUUAGUUCACGCCAA
rnacentral:lncRNA from 1 species